CCACAAUAUGAAUAUACAUACAGGCGCCACCCAGUGGAACCAAAUGUCUCAGGAUCUGAAUGUUUUAACACCGGUAAACGCAAUGGCGGCAGCUGAAAUUCAGAAACAAACAUACGACGUCAUACACUGCCUCUUACAAAAUGAACUAUAUUUUGAUGUGGUGGAGCCUGAUGGUGCUGAAGAUGAGAACUCAUUUGACCCUGUAAAAAUAGCCUCAAAGCUCAGGGAACUGGGUGACGAUUAUGAUGAGAGAGUGAUCCAGCCAUUGAUGAAGAAUGUACAGAAAGCUGCAGCCGAUCAGGUGGUGACUGCCUUCAGUGAUAGUGUGGACAGCUUGUGUAAGAUGUGGGUUGUGGAAAGAGCAGAAGUGGCCUCAGAGAAGCAGCUUCUCAAAGCAGCCAUCACACUGGGACUCUUUAUGAAGAAAAACUGCCCUGACAUGACGAGUGUAGUUGAGAGCGCUAUGAUGGGAUUCGUCAACAACCGUCUAACAUACUGGAUUGCAGAGCAAGGGGGCUGGGUCUCUGUCUCUAAGAACAGCAUGUAUUGAGAGCUCAUUGUCUCAUUCUCUGAGAGACCCUCAAUCAUUCCUCUGAAGUUUUGAUUUGUAAUGCAGGAUGAUCUGUAAAUGUCAUUCAGAUGCCAAGGUGCUGUUUUCAGACAAUCACAACCAGCAAAGUUUUUUAAUGUUUACAUUUUUACUCUAAUACAGAUAUUUGUGUUUGAGUAUUUCAACUGAUGCAGGAAUUCUCAACCAACAUUGCUUUUUUUAAAUAAUAGACUUGUGUCUUAUGAUGUAGUCAAAUUUCUUUACAUCACUGAUGUGGAGUAAAACUACUGUAUAAUGUUAUUUUAAAGGGGUCAUAUGAUGCGAUUUAAAUUUUUCCUUUCUCUUUGGAGUGUUACAAGCUCUUGGUGCAUAAAGAAGAUCUGUAAAGUUGCAAGGACUAAAGUCUCAAUUCCAAAGAGAUAUUCUUUAUAAAAGUUAAGACUUGUCCACGCCCUCCUAAAACGCCUCGUUUAAACACGCCCUGGCCUUCCAAAAGAGGACACAACUAGAAAUCAGUGGUUAAGUUGUAUU
rnacentral:lncRNA from 1 species